rnacentral:ncRNA from 1 species
GGGGAGUACUGCCGCAAGGUUGAAACCCAAAAGUAUAGAGGGUCUUGAAAACCAGCAGUGAAGCAUGUUGUUUAAUGUGAUGAUCCGCACAACAUCUUACCACUCCUUGAAUGUUACACAGGCGUUGCAUGGCUGUCUUCAGUUCGUGUCGUGAGAUGUAAGGUUAAGUCCGCAUGAUGGACAAAACCCUUGCAGUUGGUUAAUUUGUACUUGAGCCUUCUGUGACAAACUGGCAUAGUUAGGAUUUAGGCCAGCCCUCAUGGCCCUUAUGGAGUGGGUUGCCGGGGAGCAGCUUGGGGGAAUACCAUAGGAUCCAAUAAGGUAACUAGGAUUCUUAAAACUUGACAAAAGAAAGACUAACCCAGAUCAGGAAUGACAAAAUUCCAAAAAUGCCCACUACAGGGGUCGAACCUGUGGCCUUGGCGUUAUU